rnacentral:rRNA from 1 species
GGCGGACGGGUGAGUAUCGCGUUUGUAACCUACCUCUAACUGGAGAAUAGCCCGAAGAAAUUCGGAUUAAUACUCCAUAAUACUAUGAAUUGGCAUCUUUUUAUAGUUAAAGCUCCGGCGGUUGGAGAUGGGCAUGCGUGACAUUAGUUUGUUGGUGAGGUAAUGGCUCACCAAGACAACGAUGUCUAGGGGGUCUGAGAGGAUGGUCCCCCACACUGGUACUGAGACACGGACCAGACUCCUACGGGAGGCAGCAGUGGGGAAUUUUCCGCAAUGGGCGAAAGCCUGACGGAGCAAUACCGCGUGCGGGAGGACGCUUUUUGGAGUGUAAACCGCUUUUCUCAAGGAAGAUGAUGACGGUACUUGAGGAAUCAGCAUCGGCUAACUUCGUGCCAGCAGCUGCGG